GAUAAGUUGUUGAUUACGUUUUUUAAGGGAAGCAGAGGUUUUAGGCAGGAUUUGAUGCAUAAGGUGUGUGUAGAUAUUAAUGUUAGGGGAGAAUGUGAGUGAUGUGUACAUUUAGUAGGAAAACCUAUUAUCUGAUCCACACUCCGGGACAGGAGAGGGCGGUAUUGCACCAAUAAGCUGGAUGCCAACCGCCGUUAAACUGGAAAGAAGUUACAAUGAGUUACAAUGAUCUUUUGUGGUGGAGCAGGACCUGCAAGGAAAGGGGAAAAAAAGGAAAAACCUGAAACAAAAGAAUAAAGUAGUGGUGCUCAUGGAGAGCAGCACACGAUUGUUUGGAGCAGACACAGCAGCAGUCAGAUUGUCCUGCAUGUGUUCUUCUGCUCUCGCUUCAAGGUUGUGUGGUGAGAGCCGACAUCAUGGUCUUCCUUACCUGUUGCUCAACGACAUCCCCGUUGAGAAGAGUGAGAUUAUGAAGCACAGCAGAACUGUCUCAGCUGUGUUGAGAUGAUAGUAAGAUGUGGGGUUCACCAUCUGUAAAUACAUGAUUGUUAGAACAGUAAGUUUGAAUGAAGCUUUGUUUCAUGUGUUGUUGACUUGUACAUGUAUGCAUUUAUUGUGAUGCCAACA
ensembl:lncRNA